GAUGAACGCUAGCUACAGGCUUAACACAUGCAAGUCGAGGGGCAGCAUGAACUUAGCUUGCUAAGUUUGAUGGCGACCGGCGCACGGGUGAGUAACACGUAUCCAACCUGCCGAUGACUCGGGGAUAGCCUUCCGAAAGAAAGACUAAUACCCGAUGGCAUAGUUCUUCCGCAUGGUAGAACUAUUAAAGAAUUUCGGUCAUCGAUGGGGAUGCGUUGCAUUAGGUUGUUGGAGGGGUAACGGACCACCAUGCCUUCGAUGGAUAGGGGUUCGGAGAGGAAGGUCCCCCAGAGUGGAACUGGCCCACGGGGCAAACUCCUACGGGAGGCAGCAGUGAGGAAGAUUGCUGAAUGGAAUAGUGUCUGAACCGGCCAAGUCGCGUGAAGGAUGACUGCCCUAUGGGUGGUAAACUUCGUUUAGUAGGGAAUAUAGUGAGGUACGUAUGCCUUUUUGAAUGUACUGUAUGAAUAAGGAUCGGCUAACUCCGUG
rnacentral:rRNA from 1 species